rnacentral:rRNA from 1 species
AUUGAACGCUGGCGGCAGGCCUAACACAUGCAAGUCGAACGGUAACAGGAAGCAGCUUGCUGCUUUGCUGCCGAGUGGCGGACGGGUGAGUAAUGUCUGGGAAACUGCCCGAUGGAGGGGGAUAACUACUGGAAACGGUAGCUAAUACCGCAUAACGUCGCAAGACCAAAGAGGGGGACCUUAGGGCCUCUUGCCAUCGGAUGUGCCCAGAUGGGAUUAGCUAGUAGGUGGGGUAACGGCUCACCUAGGCGACGAUCCCUAGCUGGUCUGAGAGGAUGACCAGCCACACUGGAACUGAGACACGGUCCAGACUCCUACGGGAGGCAGCAGUGGGUAAUAUUGCACAAUGGGCGCAAGCCUGAUGCAGCCAUGCCGCGUGUAUGAAGAAGGCCUCGGGUUGUAAAGUACUUUCAGCGGGGAGGAAGGGAGUAAAGUUAAUACCUUGGCUCAUUGACGUUACCCGCAGAAGAAGCACCGGCUAACUCCGUG